CUAUUUGUUUGACGGACAGACGCUUUGAGUUCUUUGUUGUUCCUCUGUUUGCUUUUAUGGUUCCGCUGAUUUGUUUGUGGUUCCGCUGAGGAGUUGUGGUUCCACGCUGAGAGUUGUGGUUCCGCUGAGAGAGUUGUGGUUCCUCUCGUCUAUAUGGGGUCCCCCCCCCCCCACACACACACACGCACACAUCAAUAAACCGUUUUGACUGAAGUCGUGUUUCCGUAUCUUCUGACUCUGGAGGUUCCCGACUUCUAUACUGUAGCAUAAUACACAGUACUGCUAUAGUACUAACAUAAUACACAGUACUGCUAUAGAACUAGCAUAAUACACAGUACUGCUAUAGAACUAACAUAAUACACAGUACUGCUAUAGAACUAGCAUAAUACACAGUACUGCUAUAGAACUAGCAUAAUACACAGUACUGCUAUAGAACUAGCAUAAUACACAGUACUGCUAUAGAACUAGCAUAAUACACAGUACUGCUAUAGAACUAGCAUAAUACACAGUACUGCUAUAGUACUAGCUUAAUACCGAGUAUUGUUAUAGUACUAGCAUAAUACACAGUACUGCUAUAGAACUAGUAUAAUACACAGUACUGUUAUAGUACUAGCUUAAUACCCAGUACUGUUAUAGUACUAGCAUAAUACACAGUACUGCUAUAGAACUAGUAUAAUACACAGUACUGUUAUAGUACUAGUAUAAUAACCUCCGGUCCGCUUACCUCCCGGACAUGGGAUAUGUCCAGAAAAGGCUCAAUACAAAAAAAUGCUAUUAAACUAAUAACUUAAAAUAGUUUCUUAUAAAAAUGGAAGCCAACGGUCCAACACGUGACCAAGAUAAUCAGACUACAUGCCCAUUUAUUUUUAAAACCAUGUGUUGGAACUCCAUUUGAAACGGGGAUAAACGUAACCGCACCCCUGAAUGGAGGCCGCGGCAGGCGGCAGUCUCCGGCGCUCCCGCCCCCCUUCCCCAGGGGGCGCCUCAGCGUCAUCACCCAGCGCUGUGACGGAGCUGCUGCCCAGCCUGGCUGAGGGGUGAGCCCCCCCUGCUGGAGGUAACGUGUCAGGUGUCUCGAAAUAUCUUUUAUUAUAAUUAAUAAAUAAAUAUAACCAUAUUCAUGAGUAGACUCUUCAAGUAAAAACAUUUGUUUUGGUUUUGUUUUUAAAUAACAUUAAUUGAAUCAAUUGCUUGAAUAAAGAUUAUAAAUGUAUAUAUAUCUUAUAGUGAAUGUUGUGUUUUGUAAGGGUCAAAGGGCCAUGAAAGUAUCAACGACACACGUACAACCAGCCUUGUACAUGUGUGUCAGGGUCCUUUGUCUUCAUCUUUUUUGUGGCGUUAAACGGGAAAUGCAAAACCUACGAACUAUAACAUUGAAAAUAUUCAAUACGGAACAAUUGACGAGCUGCUGGUUCAGAUCCUGGGCGCAGGGGACCAUCGGGUGGUCCACCCGGGUGGACCACCUGGGCCUGAAGUGGGACAACGUGCUGGGAACGAGCAGAGCCAGCUGAAGAUGGUGGACCUGGGCUCCUCUCAGCCCUUCACCCCCGGGCAGCCCGUCCACAUAGAGCACCUCCGGGGGCUGGCAGAGAACAGAAUGCAGCAGCAAAGGGACGAGCUGACGGGAGAUGGAUGAAAGGAACUAGCUCACCCUAAUCAACCACCCCACAUAUUUUGAUCUCAUCAUUCUCCAUUCUCAUUACCAUUUUUUCAAUACAUUUUUCUGUAUCAACAGAAAAAUGUCAUGUGUUUAUGAAGAUGCGUUACGUCUGUCUGUCUCAGUUUACAUUGUGCUUCCAAAAGCUCCCGAGAUUCUGGAAGGAAACGUAAUCGGACCGGAGGCGGACAACUGGGCCAUCUCACCCUGGCCUUCAUCAUGUGAGGACAUCAGAUCACACUCUCUCUCUCUGUCUCUGUCUCUCUCUCUCUCUCUCUCUCUCUCUCUCUCUCUCUCUCUCUCUCUCUCUCUCUCUCUCUCUCUCUCUCUCUCUCUCUCUCUCUCUCUCUCCUCUCUCUCUCUCUCUCUCUCUCUCUCUCUCUCUCUCUCUCUCUCUCUCUCUCUCUCUCUCUCUCUCUCUCUCUCUCUCUCUCUCCUCUGUGCAGGGGCAGACCCACGGUGGCAGGGCCCCUCACUCAGCAGGGGGGGCUCCCUGGUCAGCUCACCGGGGGGGGGGGCAGCUUAAGGCCUACCUGAGGGCGGCAGACCAAGCUCAGAGGACUCUUCUUGAAGUGAUGAACACGAGGCUUCACUCACAGCAUGCUGUCUGAGUCCCAGAGGGGGUGGAGGUGGUCGGUGGAGGUGGUCAUUGGAGGUGGAGGUGGAGGUGGUCAUUGGAGGUGGAGGUGGUCAUUUGUCAUUGGAGGUGGAGGUGGUCAUUGGAGGUGGAGGUGGUCAUUGGAGGUGGAGGUGGUCAUUGGAGGUGGAGGUGGUCAUUUGUCAUUGGAGGUGGAGGUGGUCAUUGGAGGUGGAGGUGGUCAUUUGUCAUUGGAGGUGGAGGUGGUCAUUGGAGGUGGAGGUGGUCAUUGGAGGUGGAGGUGGUCAUUGGAGGGGUUCUUUGGGGCCUCAUUGUUUCCUGGGCACCCUGCCACCAUUUUGACACAAGUUUAAUUACAAUCUAUGUUGCGUCUUAAGAAUGGGAUAAAGCAUACGUGUGUACCAUAGGCUGUUUAUGUUUAUUGACAUUUAUCUGUGUGUAGUUCUUGCAUUGGCAGAUUAAUUGAGAUCAGGGAUGCAUAUUGGGGUAACACAUUAUUGGAUCAUGCUGUCAGUGCUUAUUGAGACACAAUAUGGUUUGUUUUGAAUGUACUACUACAUUUAUUCAUGUAUAAAGUGUUUGCAUGUGAGCCCUGUUCCAGGGGUCUCCGUGGUUCCUGUGUAUGUAAAGUGAUUAAAGACGGAUUGCACGCCGCAACAUGCGUGUGAACUCUGAACCUGUGAAACCACUUCAGGGCUCUUAAUGAAACUAAAAUGUUUGAUCAGCGUCUCCUUGUCUUCUCUUCAUCCUCUGCUCCAUGCAAACACAGUCUUGCCACUUCUAGGGACGUAUUUUAAGUGGCGCAAACACAGUGAUAAUGUGUACGGGUAAUAAUAGUUGUAGGGUAUAAUAUUCGUUUUCCAUGACGUGUGACAGUGUUACCCCUUAUGUUUUAUUAGAAAACGAUGAUAAAAAUAAAACGACAGUGUUACCCCUUACGUUUUAUUCCAUGACGAGCGAUAAAAAACGACAGUAUUACCCCUUAUGUUUUACUUGGCAACGACCAAUAAAAAGCGACAGUAUUACCCCUUAUGUUUUAUUUGACAACGAUGAUAAAAAAAAAACGACAGUGUUACCCCUUACGUUUUAUUCAACAACGAGUGCAAGAAAAUGUAAGUGUUACCCCUUAUGUUUUAUUUGACAACGAUCAAUAAAAAACGACAGUGGUACCCCUAACGUUUUAUAUUUGACAACGACCAAUGAAAAACAACAGUGUUACCC
ensembl:lncRNA